rnacentral:lncRNA from 1 species
AAACCCUGUAUCUAGCUUUGGGGGCUGUGAAGAACAUCUCCCUAAACAUCUCUAUCUCCAACCUCGGAGAUGAUGCCUAUGAUGCCAACGUGUCCUUCAAUGUUUCCCGGGAGCUCUUCUUCAUCAACAUGUGGCAGAAGGAGGAGAUGGGCAUCUCCUGUGAGCUGCUGGAAUCGGACUUCCUCAAAUGCAGCGUGGGAUUUCCUUUCAUGAGGUCAAAGUCAAAGUAUGAAUUCAGCGUGAUCUUUGAUACAAGCCACCUGUCUGGGGAAGAGGAAGUUCUCAGCUUCAUUGUUACUGCUCAGAGGCAUUGGUGAAGAUAUGGUCUGACUGCCCCGGAGGGCACCCACACACAGCGCUUGACUCCCUG